rnacentral:lncRNA from 1 species
AUGGUUAACAAAGGUUACAGGACCAAAAAAAAAAAAAAAAAAGUGGAAGCGAAGUAUCGCACGCUCCUACCAGGGCUUGCCAACAACUCCCGAAACAAGAAGAGCUCGGUCCCUCCGGCUUUGAAAAUCAGAACCACAAAGUACGAAGCGUGUUCGCGGCAGGGGAGACGGGCCACGGCCGGGCAGCUCCGGCGCCGACCCAGGCCCCGCGCCCCCCCGCGCCCCCCCGCGCCCCCGGCCCCGACCCCGCCACACCCCGGCCCCCAGGGCCGUGCGACGCGCCGAGCCUCGCCGAGACCCGAGCCCGACGCAAACACACCCCUACCCCGAGGGCCCGCCGGGCGCCGCCGCUUUACCUGCACCGGGGCUCCGGGUCCCGCCCCGUCAGAGCCGGGGGUCCGGGACCUUUUGUUCCUUCCUCUUCCGAAUGGGAUGAGGGGCUGGGAGGGGAGAGGGGAAGGGGCGACUGGAGGCGGAACUGAAAACACUCCCGCGGCCGCCCGGCCCGGCCCGGCCCGCCCCGCCCCCCAGCCAGUGCCCGGCCCGCGGCCCCGCGCGCGGGGAGGGGACGCGGGCUCGGCCACCGCCCGCGGGAGGGAGGGGGUGGGGACGCGCGUCCCGCCGCCGCCGCCGCCGCCGCGCCGCCGCCCCUCCUCCCCUCGGGCGCGAGCCCGCCCGCAUCCCCCGCCCCCCGCCCCGGGCCGCCCGGACGGCCGAGCCCUCCCCCGCCGCGCCCGCCGGCCCACCUCCGCUUCCGCCCUGCGCCCUCCGCCGCCGGCCGCAGCGGCGCGGCGCGGCGCACCCACCUUCGGGCGGCUGGCUCGGCGCUCGCUGGCUGCUGGCUGGGAGCUGCUCCGCCGCCGCCGCGGCCGCGCGGUAGACCCGCCUCCCACCCCGGGCCGCGAGCCCCGCCGAUUCGCCGGCGCAGCCCCGGGGCUGGCACCCUGCCGCCCGCUGAUUGGCGCCCCCGGCCGCCCGUUAGGGCGCGAGGCACGCCGGCCGAGCGCAGCGCCCGGCGCGCACGGAAGACGGGGCGAGCGGAGGAGGGAAGGAGGGAGGCCGAGCGCCCGGGAAGGGCCGGGGCGCGAGCGGGGCUCGGAGACUCGCGGGCCACUACCUCCCCACCUCCGCUCCCUUCGGCCGCCCCGCCCUCCCGGCCGGACCGGCGGCGCGCGCAGCCAAUGA